CUUUGAUGCAAACUUUAAUUACAUUUCUCUUUUCUAGAUCCCAAAGGAAGCAAAUACUUAAAUAUUAUAAACAAGUGAUAAAAAUAAAGGAAAAUGCAGAAACUCUGGCCAAGUCCUCACUCAUCAGGAAGCAGCUGAGUGUCAGCCUCAGCGAUACAUUAUAUAAAUUAGUCGGUGGUGGUGAGAGCAGACCAAUAUCUUUGGUACACAAAGACAAGUGUGGAGGGAGGGAGAGUAGUCUGUUUAUGGAGACCUCUGAACCAGCUGUCCUUCAACAUGUAACAGGUAU
rnacentral:lncRNA from 1 species